GAUGAACGCUGGCGGCGUGCCUAAUACAUGCAAGUCGAGCGAACGGACGAGAAGCUUGCUUCUCUGAUGUUAGCGGCGGACGGGUGAGUAACACGUGGAUAACCUACCUAUAAGACUGGGAUAACUUCGGGAAACCGGAGCUAAUACCGGAUGAUAUUUUGAACCGCAUGGUUCAAAAGUGAAAGACGGUCUUGCUGUCACUUAUAGAUGGAUCCGCGCUGCAUUAGCUAGUUGGUAAGGUAACGGCUUACCAAGGCAACGAUGCAUAGCCGACCUGAGAGGGUGAUCGGCCACACGGGAACGGAGACACGGUCCAGACUCCUACGGGAGGCAGCAGUAGGGAAGCUUCCGCAAUGGGCGAAAGCCUGACGGAGCAACGCCGAGUGAGUGAUGAAGGUCUUCGGAUCGUAAAACUCUGUUAUUAGGGAAGAACAUAUGUGUAAGUAACUGUGCACAUCGUGACGGUACCUAAUCAGAAAGCCACGGCUAACUACGUG
rnacentral:rRNA from 1 species